rnacentral:tRNA from 1 species
GAGGGUAUAGCUCAGUGGUAGGGUGCAUACCUAAUAUAGGGUGCAUGCCUAAUAUGCACAAGGUCCUAGGUUCAAUCCCCAGUACCUUCG